rnacentral:pre_miRNA from 1 species
CCUCUACUCCCUCCGUCCGGAAAAACUUGUCCCUCAAAUGGAUGUAUCUAGCACCAAGUUAGUGCUAGAUACAUCCAUUUGAGGAACAAGCUUGGGACAAGUUUUUUCAGACGGAGGGAGUACAUA